rnacentral:rRNA from 1 species
AUACGUAGGGUGCAAGCGUUGUCCGGAAUUAUUGGGCGUAAAGAGCUCGUAGGCGGCUUGUCGCGUCUGCUGUGAAAACCCGGGGCUCAACCCCGGGCCUGCAGUGGGUACGGGCAGGCUAGAGUGCGGUAGGGGAGAUUGGAAUUCCUGGUGUAGCGGUGGAAUGCGCAGAUAUCAGGAGGAACACCGAUGGCGAAGGCAGAUCUCUGGGCCGUAACUGACGCUGAGGAGCGAAAGCAUGGGGAGC